rnacentral:lncRNA from 1 species
UGACGACGGAAAGUGUAUUCCUAUUAGCUGGCUUUGUGACGGUGCCGGGGACUGCCUGGACGGCUCCGAUGAGGGGAACUGUGAGAACUCCACGGCGUGCCCUGGCCAGAAAAUCCAGUGUCCGGGACAUUCUCAGUGUCACGAGGCUUGGGAACUCUGUGAUGUCCAUAGGGACUGUGAAGAUGGUCUCGAUGAAGCACGCUGCUCCCCGAACCGCUGCCUGGUGGGCCAAUGGCAGUGCAGGAACAAGCUUCCUGUCCAGAAGGCAUGGUUCGAUGUGAUGAAGGGAAAUGCAUCCUGGAAUCCCUGAUGUGUGAUGGGGAAGCAGACUGCACAGAUGGUGCUGAUGAACCCGUUACAUGUGGUGAGGACCCAAUUGUCGGGUGUCACGUGGGGGUGGGGAGAAUCCGAUCACAUCAGCCGAUGCCUUAGUUAUCAUGGGGGUCCACGCUCUCAAGAGAGUGCUUGGACCAAACUCCUAUGUCAGCAAUCAUCCUUUGUGAUGGGUCCCCCACAUUUUAC